rnacentral:precursor_RNA from 1 species
UCCUAGAAGAACCAGAAGAAGUGCAUCAUCCAUGUAAAAAGAUACUGGUAUUACCUGGCUUUGAAAUGUCUCAGGAUACAUGCAUGGUGCAGAGAUCGAACUGCAGAUUCAGUGAUUCACCAUAGCUGUUGUGCCCAACAAUGGGAAGAAGUGAGGCUGCCGCAGCAUGACCUAGCAAGGCAUGACCACAAGACUAGCAACAGCUCAAGAUCCACAGGAAGGCAGUGUGGGAGCACAUCUUGUUGAUCAUUCAGAGCUAGAUCAUGCUGGCAGCUUCACUCGUUCCCUUGGACAGUUCAGUUCAGACAUCCAACCAAUCUUGCAUAAAAUACUACCUAUGACUGACUAAUCUAGCUAGGAGAAAAAUGGUGGAAGAGGCCAUGAUUCGAAUCAGCAAGUCCCGAGCCAAAUCAAACGAAAGGCAAACCGAUCGAUGGACAGCAAGAAACAAAUCCUACACACGCUCCAAUCUUGUGAGAUCUUCCAUGAGCUAGUAAUUGGUCUGAUCUGUAACAAGAUCAGCUAAUCAACCAUGGAUUGGCGUAGCUACUGGAUAGCUAAGCAGCUCAAGAAUGGAGGAGGAGAGUGAAGAAGAAACUUUGAGCAAGAGAAAGGGAGUGGAAGAGCUUUCUAGCUACCACAAGUAAUAUGCUACAACCACUACUACCACAAGUGCUACUACUACUACUACUAGUACAAAAGGG